GGAGGUGCCAGACAGGUGUGCCAUCAACAACAGAGUUCAGACAUUAGAGGGUGAUGGAGAUGCCAGCCAGGUGUGCCACCAAUAACAGAGUUCAGACACUAGAGGGCAAUGGAGAUGCCAGCCAGGUGUGCCACCAAUAACAGAGUUCAGACACUAGAGGGCAAUGGAGGUGCCAGCCAGGUGUGCCACCAAUACCAGAGUUCAGAUACUAGAAGGCAAUGGAGGUGCCAGCUAAGUGUGCCACCAAUAACAGAGUUCAGACACUAGAGGGUGACGUAGUCAGUGACACCAGUGCUCUAAAUUCCAGUAAGGAAGACAAAAGCUUCGUGGUCAGGUAAGUACAGUAAGGUGACACGUGUGGUGUGUGCGUCUCUGUGUCACAGGGUGGCUCCAUGUGUCAUCACCGAGGGCAGCCAUGCUGCUGGUUCUUCUUUGUCCAGUCGUUAUUGGGUUACAUCUAAAAGCAAAGUUUUGAAUGAUGAUGGUCCUGGCUAUAUUGCCCAC